rnacentral:misc_RNA from 1 species
GAUGAGAACGUAGCGAAAUGCGAUAAGUAAUGUGAAUUGCAGAAUUCAGUGAAUCAUCGAAUCUUUGAACGCACAUUGCGCCCCCUGGUAUUCCGGGGGGCAUGCCUGUCCGAGCGUCAUUACAACCCUCAAGCUCAGCUUGGUAUUGGGCCCCGCCGACCCGGCGGGCCCUAAAGUCAGUGGCGGUGCCGUCCGGCUCCGAGCGUAGUAAUUCUUCUCGCUCUGGAGGUCCGGUCGUGUGCUCGCCAGCAACCCCCAAUUUUUUUCAGGUUGACCUCGGAUCAGGUAGGGAUACCCGCUGAACUUAAGCAUAUCAAUAAGCGGAGGA